CUAAUAACAUGAUAUAAUUUGGUGAAUUUGUUUUAUUCCUUAAUGUAAAUUGCCCUUUCAUGUUUCUUUACAGUUUCUAUUGCAAAGAAUCAAAGAUAUAAAUUGAAAGGCCAAUAAUUAAGGUGGUUUGGUUGUUCUUGUUUGGCUGCGUAUGAGAAAUGAAAAUUAUGAAACCCAAUUGAAAUUCAAAUGCACUUUAAAUUCAAAUACUAUGGAUUUGAAAUGUUUGGUUUUUUGUGAAUCACGUACUUGUGAUUGUAAGAGAAAUGCAAAUUCCCGAGUGUGACAGUGUCCAUAUCUUAAUUUAGAUUUGGACUUGGUCAUACAGCUCAUGCUUAAAAAUCAGUAUCGCUUUCAUUUUCAUUUGGUUUAUUUUCAAUUUACAUCUGUAUCAUUAUUUUAAAAAUAAAAAGUAAAUUAUCUCUAUUCAUUACGUUACGCAAAUUUAUCAUAAAUCUGGCACUAAAAAUAAUACAGUAACACUGAUAGCCAAUAUCCAACAAGCAUUGAAACACUGUUUUGCAGAUUUAGUACAUCAAAGGAAACAGAGCUCAACAAUUUCUAAGAUAUCAAUGAUUUUGAAAAAGUCUAUCUUGAUGGGAUUGUGCUAAGUUUCAUGUUUAUUACUAAAACUAUCAUACAAGUGCCAUGCUCCACUAGCUCUAUAGUCUUUCACCUUCCCAAAUUUUAACAAAUGAUUUAAGACCUAAAGUGAAAGAGGCUAUUUUUUGAGAGGCUUUGAAUACAAAUGAAAGAACCAAAAGCCUAUACCUCUAGAAAUAAUUUAUGGACAAGGAGUUGCUGCAAACACGGUUAGGUGGCAACUUAUGAAGCCGAAAUGCGUCCUAGGUCAUGUGACUGUCACAUGACUGGCCAAACUCACCAAAUUCUCUAACCACAGGUAGAACUUAACCACUCUCUCUCUCUCUCUCCCAACCCAAGUAAAACAAAACCCCAACCAUCUCUCUAAUUGACAGUCCCUCUCUCUUUUUUAGUCACCUUUUCUGACUCCACCAUCGUUCACCACUGUCACUUGGUGGUGAGAGCCUCUGUUACUCCUACCCAAAAAAAAUCAGGUUCCUUCUACUAUUUAUCUUAUGAUCUCAGGCUCCCUUGAUUUUAAUUUACCCAACUCUUUGAGAAAAGAAAAAUCUCCCUCUCACACAAUCCACGUGAACCAACUCUCACAGAGUCUGGAGAAAAUAUUCUUUCUAAGUUGGCUUUUGCUUCAAAGAAAAAAGUUGAGAUUUUUUUUUUUGCAUUCAAAGGAAACUUAGGAAACAAUGAAGCGACUACCAGGAAUAAGUAAAAUGCAUUAUAGUGAGACUAGAAGCACACAUUUAAAGUGCAGAUAUUCUUGACUUAGAACCAAAAGUACUCCAGUCCAGGCCAACAAUUUAUCACUCAUCACCAUAGUUCAGGAGCAAUUAAACUAUGAAAAGUCCCUUUUUGAUACCUAUCACUUUGACCAAAAUUGCUCUAUAGAUUACCUCUGUAGUGAAUAAAAAUGUCAAAAGCUACAUGUUCAAGUAAACCCAGUAAAAAAUGAUAUUUCUUAAUGAAUAAUCUCCGAUAAUUCAUACCCAAAAGAAACAAGAAGACAAUCCUAACAUGCCAAGAACUUGGUAUAAUCUUUACAUAUUUGUGCCUAUAAUCACAAGACCAUCCAUCACUGACAGAGAGCAUAAGUAGAUCUCCAUGCUGUUGUUUUUUUUUAUAAUUCAACAGCAUAGAGAUCUACUUAUGCUAUCUGUUUCCUACAAUCAUAGGUGCAUGUCGUGAGCUAUAAACCAUUGCAAUGAAAAUGUGUGUGACCUAUAAGAAAGACAGAUUCAAAAAAGGGCACACAAUGAGACACUAAGCUAAUUUGAUGGCUAAUUCAAUGUCUCACUUUGUUGCUUUGACAUCAUCAUGGAUUUCGUCACAUUAAAACUCUGACAUCUCACCAGGAAAAGAUGUUUAGCUAAAGGAAUCCCUUUUCCUUAGAA